rnacentral:rRNA from 1 species
ACCAAAGGCCAAAAUACCCUAAAGGCAGCAGAUCCCAUAAAAUCUUGGAAGCUAAGCAGAGUCAGACCUGGUUCGUACUUGGAUGGGAGACCACCAAUGAAUACCACCUGCUGCAGGCU